GACGUAGGGGGCAAGCGUUGUCCGGAAUUAUUGGGCGUAAAGCGCUCGUAGGUGGAAUCGAAAAGUCUGUGAGGAAAUGCCUGGGCUCAACUCAGGAACCCGUGCGGAUACUUUCGAUCUUGAGGCAAUCAGAGGAUGAUGGAAUUCCCGGUGUAGCGGUGAAAUGCGUAGGAUAUCGGAAGGAACACCAGUGGCGAAGGCGGC
rnacentral:rRNA from 1 species